AAAUUUACAGCUGAAGAGGAAUCUAAAAAUCAAGGCGAAGAAAGUAAGAAGUCGGAGAACAGACAGGAAGAAUUUGACAAUGCCAAUAAGGGACCUGAAGCUUCGGAUUCACAAAAAUAUAUGA